UGCGUAUUGAAUCUGUUACAAUGCUUGCCUUGUAAGAUAUCGGGUUCGUGGGUAACUACCCAGGGCGGAAUGCGGAUCGACAUGAAAGUCAGUAAUCGCACUAUAAAUGUAACACUUGCGAAAUUAUCACCUCCGCCCACUCAUCAAGGUUUGCUGGAUCCUACAUGGAACUUGACUGGAUAUGCCCCGUUCGCAGUGGGUGGACCGUUCUCCUUGCUUGCUAUCGACAAUCGUACAAAGUCUCUGGCGGUAUUUGCAGAUUUAUAAUGAUACACGUAGGUGCGUGUAGAGUAUGCCAAGGUAUCGAUACGAUAGUAGGUAUUUGGUCGAUCGCCCACAAUCCGCAAGAUUGCAGGGAUUUUCAGAUAGCUACAAAUGUCUACAACGACAUAUUUCGCCGCACUAAACUAUCUUCAGAAAUAAAAAGACAAUACCGAGGGCUCGUGCGAUUAUUUCAGAAAGAUAAAAGGGACAACGAAACCACGACCGAGAUUUCGAUGAAUAGUAUGGUACAGCAAAAUAAUACUUUGCAACAAAAUAAUACACUGCAGCAAUAUAAAGAAAAGAAAAAGAUUUAGAUGUUUUAAUAAAAAUGUAAGGAACUAAUAGAAUGAAGAUCAAUAAAUUGAGCAGAAAAUUCAGCGCGUGGCUAAAAGUACGAAGCAUUUUUUUACGUACAAUAACAGCAAUAAUUUAUAUAAACUCCAAAAAGUGC